rnacentral:rRNA from 1 species
AUUGAACGCUGGCGGCAGGCCUAACACAUGCAAGUCGAACGAGUGGCGGACGGGUGAGUAAUGUCUGGGAAACUGCCCGAUGGAGGUGGAUAACUAAUGGAAACGGUAGCUAAUACCGCAUACCCUAGGAUGUGCCCAGAUGGGAUUAGCUUGGAGGUGAGGUAACGGCUCACCUAGGCGACGAUCCCUAGCUGGUCUGAGAGGAUGACCAGCCAAACUGGAACUGAGACACGGCCCAGACUCCUACGGGAGGCAGCAGUGGGGAAUAUUGCACAAUGGGCGCAAGCCUGAUGCAGCCAUGCCGCGUGUAUGAAGAAGGCCUUCGGGUUGUAAAGUACUUUCAGCGGGGAGGCGUUACCCGCAGAAGAAGCACCGGCUAACUCCGUGCCAGCAGCCGCGGUAAUAC